rnacentral:rRNA from 1 species
UACAGAGGGUGCGAGCGUUAAUCGGAAUUACUGGGCGUAAAGCGCACGUAGGCGGCUUGGUAUGUCGGGUGUGAAAUCCCCGGGCUCAACCUGGGAACUGCAUCCGAAACUGCCUUGCUCGAGUAUGGGAGAGGGAAGUGGAAUUUCCGGUGUAGCGGUGAAAUGCGUAGAUAUCGGAAGGAACAUCAGUGGCGAAGGCGACUUCCUGGACCAAUACUGACGCUCAGGUGCGAAAGCGUGGGGAGCAAACAGGG